GGCAUUGGCAAAAGAGAAGUGUCUGUCUCGGCAGAAGGACGAGUGAGGUGGUGAAAUUUCAUAGAUACAUGGAUUAGCUGGGUGCCCCUGAGGAGAGGUCUGGGAACUGAAGCGGUGUUCAUCUAGCCAUCCAACUAGAUAUCAGUACGAUGAGGACCUGUCCACUAGGGAGAACAGAUGGAGGCCCAGACUGGGCAGCUUCUGAUUUUGUCUCUCAGGAUUUGAAGGUUUGCUGAAACAUUAAAUUGGGGACAAAUAUACUGACACACCCAGAUGCUCAUCAGAGUUUAUAAAUACCAUGGAUAAAAGCAAAGCUAUUCAUCUCCCAGUCAUGCGAGUAUAAUGCACAGGUCACAUGCAAUAUGCAGCAUUUGGUGGAAAUAUGUUUUGCUGAUGUGAUCUUUGGGGGACUGUUGUUGUUGUGAAUGUGAAAAUGCCUAGGUAUAGGUGUUCACUCCCUUUAAUGUAAAGUAAUGGAGAUCCUACAAUGUGAUCGCAAAUAUCAAAUAGACCUAUUAUGCUGGCACUUGGCAAUGAUUUAUUUACAGUGAGUUAUUUGUACUCUAUCUCAAUGAUUUAUUUACACUGUAUUUCAUUUUUUCUUGACUACAGAACUGUGCCAGCUCUACACAGGACACUGUACACUUUUUAAUUAAUUGACAGUAAUUAAAGAGAGAUGGCAUUAUCACUGCUGGACUUUGGGGGGAGGGAGGGGGGAUCAUUAGUAAUCAUUCGUAAAUCAUUAAUUUUUACCAUUUGAGGGGCAGUCAGUAGGGCACCCUGGUGCACCAGGGGGGGGCAGGUGCCCCCUCACCCCCCAAGUCUGCCAGUGGGCAUUAUGACCUGGUACUGGAUACAUGG